GAACGAGAAAGUGGAGCAAUCCAUGAGUAAAGUGGCGACCGGGUGAGUAACACGUGACUAACCUACCUCUUAGUGGGGAAUAACUCCGGGAAACCGGGGCUAAUACCGCAUAACAUCGAGAGAUCAAAGCAGCAAUGCGCUUGAGGAGGGGGUCGCGGCUGAUUAGCUAGUUGGUAGGGUAAUGGCCUACCAAGGCGAAGAUCGGUAUCCGGCCUGAGAGGGCGCACGGACACACUGGAACUGAAACACGGUCCAGACUCCUACGGGAGGCAGCAGUGGGGAAUUUUGCGCAAUGGGGGAAACCCUGACGCAGCAACGCCGCGUGGAGGAUGAAGUCCUUUGGGACGUAAACUCCUUUCGACCGGGACGAUAAUGACGGUACCGGUGGAAGAAGCCCCGGCUAACUUCGUG
rnacentral:rRNA from 1 species